AAUAUUGGACAAUGGGCGCAAGCCUGAUCCAGCAAUGCCGCGUGUGUGAAGAAGGUCUUCGGAUUGUAAAGCACUUUCGGCGGGGACGAUGAUGACGGUACCCGCAGAAGAAGCCCCGGCUAACUUCGUGCCAGCAGCCGCGGUAAUACGAAGGGGGCUAGCGUUGCUCGGAAUGACUGGGCGUAAAGGGCGCGUAGGCGGAUGACAUAGUCGGGCGUGAAAUUCCUGGGCUCAACCUGGGGACUGCGUUCGAGACGUGUUGUCUUGAGUUCGGAAGAGGGUCGUGGAAUUCCCAGUGUAGAGGUGAAAUUCGUAGAUAUUGGGAAGAACACCGGUGGCGAAGGCGGCGACCUGGUCCGAUACUGACGCUGAGGCGCGAAAGCGUGGGGAGCAA
rnacentral:rRNA from 1 species